UACGAAGGGGGCUAGCGUUGCUCGGAAUCACUGGGCGUAAAGCGCACGUAGGCGGAUUGUUAAGUCAGGGGUGAAAUCCUGGAGCUCAACUCCAGAACUGCCUUUGAUACUGGCGGCCUCGAGUCCGGGAGAGGUGAGUGGAACUGCGAGUGUAGAGGUGAAAUUCGUAGAUAUUCGCAAGAACACCAGUGGCGAAGGCGGCUCACUGGCCCGGUACUGACGCUGAGGUGCGAAAGCGUGGGGAGCAAACAGG
rnacentral:rRNA from 1 species